CUACGUGCCAGCAGCCGCGGUAAUACGUAGGUCCCGAGCGUUAUCCGGAUUUAUUGGGCGUAAAGCGAGCGCAGGCGGUUAGAUAAGUCUGAAGUUAAAGGCUGUGGCUUAACCAUAGUACGCUUUGGAAACUGUUUAACUUGAGUGCAAGAGGGGAGAGUGGAAUUCCAUGUGUAGCGGUGAAAUGCGUAGAUAUAUGGAGGAACACCGGUGGCGAAAGCGGCUCUCUGGCUUGUAACUGACGCUGAGGCUCGAAAGCGUGGGGAGCAAACAGGAUUAGAUACCCUGGUAGUCCACGCUGUAAACGAUGUCGAUUUGGGGGUUGAACUUUAGGUUUGGCGCCCGUAGCUAACGUGAUAAAUCGACCGCCUGGGGAGUACGGCCGCAAGGUUAAAACUCAAAUGAAUUGACGGGGGCCCGCACAAGCGGUGGAGCAUGUGGUUUAAUUCGAUGCAACGCGAAGAACCUUACCUACUCUUGACAUCCAGAGAACAUUC
rnacentral:rRNA from 1 species